rnacentral:rRNA from 1 species
CUACGUGCCAGCAGCCGCGGUAAUACGUAGGUCCCGAGCGUUGUCCGGAUUUAUUGGGCGUAAAGUGAGCGCAGGCGGUUAGAUAAGUCUGAAGUUAAAGGCUGUGGCUUAACCAUAGUACGCUUUGGAAACUGUUUAACUUGAGUGCAGAAGGGGAGAGUGGAAUUCCAUGUGUAGCGGUGAAAUGCGUAGAUAUAUGGAGGAAUACCGAUGGCGAAGGCGGCUCUCUGGCUUGUAACUGACGCUGAAGCUCGAAGGUGCGGGUAUCGAACAGGAUUAGAUACCCUGGUAGUCCGCACAGUAAACGAUGGAUGCCCGCUGUUGGUACCUGGUAUCAGCGGCUAAGCGAAAGCAUUAAGCAUCCCACCUGGGGAGUACGCCGGCAACGGUGAAACUCAAAGGAAUUGACGGGGGCCCGCACAAGCGGAGGAACAUGUGGUUUAAUUCGAUGAUACGCGAGGAACCUUACCCGGGCUUGAA